GGCUGUGGCUGGCAUCUUAAGACUUAGAAAAGAAAACUACUGAGUGGUGAAAGGCCUGUAGUUUGCAGACGGAACAAAAUUCCCCAAUUAUGCCCUAGUUCCAAUUCGAGAUCGGGAUGUUUCUUCCGACACCGUUAUUAGAUAAAAUCGACACCGAACGCAAGAACAGGCCUCAGAUUCCGGCGUGCGGUGGCGGUCGGAGAAAGAUAAAGACGAAAGAGAGCCUUCCGAUUGGAAAAACCAGGGUUUUGUGAGUUUUGGCUCGAG
rnacentral:misc_RNA from 1 species